rnacentral:rRNA from 1 species
UCUUUUACAAUGGGGGCAACCCUGAUCUAGCCAUGCCGCGUGUGUGAUGAAGGCCCUAGGGUCGUAAAGCACUUUCGCCAGAGAUGAUAAUGACAGUAUCUGGUAAAGAAACCCCGGCUAACUCCGUGCCAGCAGCCGCGGUAAUACGGAGGGGGUUAGCGUUGUUCGGAAUUACUGGGCGUAAAGCGCACGUAGGCGGAUUAGUAAGUUAGAGGUGAAAUCCCAGGGCUCAACCCUGGAACUGCCUUUAAUACUGCUAGUCUUGAGUUCGAGAGAGGUAAGUGGAAUUCCGAGUGUAGAGGUGAAAUUCGUAGAUAUUCGGAGGAACACCAGUGGCGAAGGCGGCUUACUGGCUCGAUACUGACGCUGAGGUCCGAAAGUGUGGGGAGCAAACAGGAUUAGAUACCCUGGUAGUCCACACCGUAAACGAUGAAUGCCAGACGUCAGCAAGUAUACUGGUUGGUGUCACACCUAACGGAUUAAGCAUUCCGCCUGGGGAGUACGGUCGCAAGAUUAAAACUCAAAGGAAUUGACGGGGCCCCCAAGCGGU